CCUACGGGAGGCUGCAGUGAGGAAUAUUGGUCAAUGGGCGCGAGCCUGAACCAGCCAUGCCGCGUGAAUGAUGACUGCCCUACGGGUUGUAAACUUCUUUUAUAAAGGAAUAAAGUGAGGCACGUGUGCCUUUUUGUAUGUACUUUAUGAAUAAGGAUCGGCUAACUCCGUUCCAGCAGCCGCGGUAAUACGGAGGAUCCGAGCGUUAUCCGGAUUUCUUGGGUUUAAAGGGAGCGUAGAUGGGUUGUUAAGUUAGUUGUGAAAGUUUGCGGCUCAACCGUAAAAUUGCAAUUGAUACUGGAAGUCUAGAGUGCAGUAGAGGUAGGCGGAAUGCGUGGUGUAGCGGUGAAAUGCUUAGAUAUCACGAAGAACACCGAGUGCGAAGGCAGCUUACUAAACUGCAACUGACAUUGAUGCUCGAAAGUGUGGGGAGCAAACAGGAUUAGAUACCCUUGUAGUC
rnacentral:rRNA from 1 species